UACGGAGGGUGCAAGCAUUGUCCGGAAUCACUGGGCGUAAAGGGCGCGUAGGCGGCUCAUGAAGGCUGUGGUGAAAGUCCGGGGCUCAACCUCGGAUCGGCCGUGGCGACUCGUGGGCUGGAGCACUGUAGAGGCGGGUGGAAUUCCGGGUGUAGCGGUGGAAUGCGUAGAGAUCCGGAAGAACACCAGUGGCGAAGGCGGCCCGCUGGGCAGUGGCUGACGCUGAGGCGCGACAGCGUGGGGAGCAAACAGG
rnacentral:rRNA from 1 species